rnacentral:rRNA from 1 species
GACGAACGCUGGCGGCGUGCUUAACACAUGCAAGUCGAACGGAAAGGCCCUGUUCUUGCGGGGUGCUCGAGUGGCGAACGGGUGUGUAACACGUGAGUAACCUCCGCUUUACUUUGGGAUAACUUCAGGGAACUGGGGCUAAUACCGGAUAGGAGCUCUUGCUGCAUGGUGGGGGUUGGAAAGUUUCGGCGUUUGGGGAUGGACGCGAGGCUAAUCAGUUUGUUGGUGGGGUGGUGGCUUACCAAGGCGUUGAGGGGUAGCCGGCCUGAGAGGGUGACCGGCCACAAUGGGACUGAGGAACGAGCCAGAGGCCAACGUGGGGCAGGGGUGGGGAACAUUGCACAAUGGGCGGAAGCCUGAUACAGCGGCGCCGGGUGCGGAAUGACGGCUUGUGGGGUAUAAACCGCUUUCGCCUGUAACGAAGCGUGAGUGACGGUAACGGGUAAAGAAGCACCGGCUAACUACGUG